AUUGAACGCUGGCGGCAGGCCUAACACAUGCAAGUCGAACGAGUGGCGGACGGGUGAGUCAUGUCUGGGAAACUGCCUGGUGGAGGGGGAUAACUACUGGAAACAGUAGCUAAUACCGCAUACCAUCAGAGGUGCCCAGAUGGGAUUAGCUUGUUGGUGGGGUAACGGCUCACCAAGGCGACGAUCCCUAGCUGGUCUGAGAGGAUGACCAGCCACACUGGAACUGAGACACGGUCCAGACUCCUACGGGCGGCAGCAGUGGCGAAUUUUGCACAAUGGGCGUACGCCUGGUUCAGCCAUGCCGCGUGUAUGAUGAAGGUCGUCCGGUCGUAACGUCCUUUUGGCAGGGAUGCGCUACCUGCAUAAGAAGCACCGGCUAACUCCGUGCCAGCAGCCGCGGUAAUUC
rnacentral:rRNA from 1 species